CCGGGACCAUCCGGUAAGGCUAAAUACUCCCGAGAGACCGAUAGCGAACCAGUACUGUGAAGGAAAGGUGAAAAGAACCUCGAACAGAGGAGUGAAACAGACCCUGAAACCAUGCGCCUACAAGCGGUCGGAGCAUGUUAAAAUGUGACGGCGUGCCUUUUGCAUAAUGAACCUACGAGUUACUCUCGCUGGCAAGGUUAAGCGAUUCAGUCGCGCAGCCGAAGCGAAAGCAAGUCCGAACAAGGCGUACAGUCAGCGGGAGUAGACGCGAAACCAAGUGAUCUACCCUUGGUCAGGUUGAAGGUUGGGUAACACCAACUGGAGGACCGCACCGAUAAGCGUUGAAAAGCUUACGGAUGAACUGAGGGUAGGAGUGAAAGGCCAAUCAAACUUGGAGAUAGCUCGUACUCCCCGAAAUGCAUUUAGGUGCAGCCUCGAAGUAAAGUGAUAGAGGUAGAGCGACUGAUAAGAUGCGAGGGCUUCACCGCCUAUCAAGUCUUGACAAACUCCGAAUGCGCAUCAGUUCUACCGCAGGAGUGAGGGCAUGGGUGCUAAGGUCCGUGCCCGAGAGGAGAAGAAUCCGGACCACCUGCUAAGGUCCCGAAAUAACAGCUAAGUUAAACUAACGAAGUCAGAUUGCUAAGACAGCUAGGAUGUUGGCUUGGAAGCAGCCAUUCAUUUAAAGAGUGCGUAACAGCUCACUAGUCGAGGAGUUUGGCGUGGAUAAUAAUCGGGCAUUAAGCAAUUUACCGAAGCUAUGGGAUCAGUAAUGAUCGGUAGGGGAGCAUUCCACUCUGCGUCGAAGGUGAAGCGUGAGCUUUGCUGGAGCGUGUGGAAAAGCAAAUGUAGGUAUAAGUAACGAUAAAGGGGGUGAGAAACCCCCUCGCCGAAAGACUAAGGUUUCCUGAUCAACGCUAAUCGGAUCAGGGUCAGUCGGGUCCUAAGGCUCAGCCGAACGGCGAUGCCGAUGGCAGAAACGGUUAAUAUUCCGUUACUACCUUCAGGAGUGACGUGGAGACGCAGUAGUGACAGUGCCGCCAUCUGACGGAAUAGAUGGUUGAAGGGUGUAGGAGUCGAUCAUGGCAGGCAAAUCCACCAUGAGAUCCGAACCUGAUAGUAUGCCGCGUCCUUCGGGACAAGGCAAUAGUGCGCGUAAGCAUGCUGCCGAGAAAAUCCGCUAAACUUAAUCCUGCAGGUACCCGUACCGCAAACGGACACACGUAGUCGGGAUGAAUAUUCUAAGGCGCUUGAGUGAUUCACGGUUAAGGAACUAGGCAAACUGACCCUGUAACUUCGGGAUAAAGGGUCCUCGCUUUACGGCGAGGCGCAGAGAAUAGGUCCAGGCAACUGUUUAACAAAAACACAGGGCUGUGCAAAAUUUCAAGAUGAAGUAUACAGCCUGACACCUGCCCGGUGCCGGAAGGUUAAGAGGAGAGCUAAUCGCAAGAGAAGGCUUGAAUUGAAGCCCCGGUAAACGGCGGCCGUAACUAUAACGGUCCUAAGGUAGCGAAAUUCCUUGUCGGGUAAGUUCCGACCUGCACGAAUGGUGUAAUGAUCUGGACACUGUCUCAACCGUGAGCUCGGUGAAAUUGUAGUAUCGGUGAAGAUGCCGAUUACCCGCAACGGGACGAAAAGACCCCGUGAACCUUUACUGCAACUUAGCAUUGCGUUUGGGCAUUUGAUGUGUAGGAUAGUCCGGAGGCUACGAGUCGGCGACGCCAGUCGUCGAGGAGCCGCUGUUGAAAUACGGACCUUCGAAUGUUUGAGCGCUAACUCGCUGUAGCGAGGACACUGUUUGGUGGGUAGUUUGACUGGGGUGGUCGCCUCCAAAAGCGUAACGGAGGCUUCUA
rnacentral:rRNA from 1 species